CACAAUCUCAGGUUGACAGUGAGAUCAAAUAUCCCACAAUGCACUACGAUUCAUGACAGUAACAAAAUUACAGUUAUGAAGUAGCAACGAAAAUAAUUUCAUAGUCGGGGUCACCACAACACGCGGAACUGUAUUGAAGGACCACAGUGUUAGGAUGGCUGAGAAGCCUGCUCAGCUGAAGAACAACCGCAUCCCUUGCGUCUCCACGGAGAUGAGGAGGGCACAAGCGCAGCCGAGGCGUCCUCUCUCCCCUCUGGCGUGGUGAGCGAAGUGAUUGGCCCAGAGGUCAACUGUUCCACCCUCCGCUCUGUAGAAGCCGGGAAUGCUCUGACGACCCUGCCAGGGGAUGUUCAUGGAAUACAGAGCCCCUGUUGGAUAAAUGAGUACAUGAUGAAAAGCAGUUUCUAGAAAGACCCCAAGAUCUUUCUGUCGUAGAGAAAGUGGAACCUGGAAGAAUGGACCCUAAAGCUGCUGAGCAGCCAGGAACUGACAAGCAGCCUCCUUGCAACAUCCCUCCCUUGAUGGCCCUUGGAAGAGAGGGUGCAUAUUCCUCCACAGUGCUGGAUUCCACCAAUCCUAUGCUGUGAAGAGCGACUCUCAAGUUCAUCAUCUAAAUCCAUUUCUGCAAAAUGGAAACUAUUCUACCACUUCUUUAA